CCCAGACUCCUACGGGAGGCAGCAGUGGGGAAUAUUGCACAAUGGGCGAAAGCCUGAUGCAGCGACGCCGCGUGAAGGAUGAAGUAUUUCGGUAUGUAAACUUCUAUCAGCAGGGAAGAAAAUGACGGUACCUGAGUAAGAAGCCCCGGCCAACUACGUGCCAGCAGCCGCGGUAAUACGUAGGGGGCAAGCGUUAUCCGGAUUUACUGGGUGUAAGGGAGCGUAGACGGCAGUGCAAGUCUGGAGUGAAAGGCGGGGGCUCAACCCCCGGACUGCUCUGGAAACUGUACGGCUGGAGUGCAGGAGAGGUAAGUGGAAUUCCUAGUGUAGCGGUGAAAUGCGUAGAUAUUAGGAGGAACACCAGUGGCGAAGGCGGCUUACUGGACUGUAACUGACGUUGAGGCUCGAAAGCGUGGGGAGCAAACAGGAUUAGAUACCCUUGUA
rnacentral:rRNA from 1 species